GAGCACGUAGGUGGGUUUGUAAGUCAGAUGUGAAAGCCUUCUGUUCAACGGAAGAAUUGCAUCUGAAACUGCGAGUCUUGAGUGUAGGAGGGGAGAAUGGAACUUCUGGUGGAGCGGUGAAAUGCGUAGAUAUCAGAAGGAACGCCGGCGGCGAAAGCGAUUCUUUGGCCUAUUACUGACACUCAGUGUGCGAAAGCUAGGGGAGCAAACGGGAUUAGAUACCCCGGUAGUCCUAGCCGUAAACGAUGGGCACUAAGUAGAGGGGUUUU
rnacentral:rRNA from 1 species